CCCCAAUCCCCACUUCCAAACCAAACGCACGAAACACUACUGAAUAUGAUCAAUACUGCCUUUGUGUUUAAUUUCCUCUCCUGGGUAGUCAGCCGCCAAACCAGUGAGCAAUUAUUAGGCGCUUGGCACGUGCCAGCGCUGUGAAUCCAGUGGGCAGAUACUGUUAGACUGGAGCCAAAUGAAAACAGAACCACAUCUUGAAAGGGCUGAAAGACAACUUGCUACCCAUAUUUCUAUAUUCAAUGAAAGGCUCUUCCAGAAUGAAGACAAAAUGAUGACAUUCAGAGCUAAACAAAAACUAACAGAACUCAUCACCAGAAGACUCAUACUUGAAGAAAUGUUACAGAAAGUUACUCAUGUCGAAGAAAAAUGAUAUCAGAUGGAAAAUUUAGAUGUUCUAGAAGGAAUGAAGAACACUGAAAAUGAUAUAAUGCGUAUGACAACUAAAGAAUGAAGGAUGAAGAGAGAAGAGGUGGCUGCUGGGUAAGGCCACCUGUAUGAGUCUAACAGUCUGCAAGGUUCUUACAUUUUCCAUGAAGUGCUACAAUAUUAAUGCUAAGUGGACAAAAAAAAUUAAGAAUGUGUGUAUUGUAAUUCCUAAGCAAUGACUAAAAAUAGUUGAAAGAAAUAUAGGUAAAAU
rnacentral:lncRNA from 10 species